rnacentral:rRNA from 1 species
UAAUACAGAGGGUGCGAGCGUUAAUCGGAAUUACUGGGCGUAAAGCGCGCGUAGGCGGCUUGUUAAGUCAAAUGUGAAAUCCCCGAGCUUAACUUGGGCAUUGCAUUCGAUACUGGCAAGCUAGAGUAUGGGAGAGGAAGGUAGAAUUCCAGGUGUAGCGGUGAAAUGCGUAGAGAUCUGGAGGAAUACCGAUGGCGAAGGCAGCCUUCUGGCCUAAUACUGACGCUGAGGUGCGAAAGCAUGGGGAGCAAACAGGAUUAGAUACCCUGGUAGUCCAUGCCGUAAACGAUGUCAACUAGCCGUUGGGCCCCUUGAGGGCUUAGUGGCGCAGCUAACGCGAUAAGUUGACCGCCUGGGGAGUACGGUCGCAAGACUA